CAGCAGUGGGGAAUAUUGCUACAAUGGGGAAACCCUGAUGCAGCCAUGCCGCGUGUGUGAAGAAGGCCUUCGGGUUGUAAAGCACUUUCAGUAGGGAGGAAGGUAGUGUAGUUAACACCUGCACUAUUUGACGUUACCUACAGAAGAAGCACCGGCUAACUCCGUGCCAGCAGCCGCGGUAAUACGGAGGGUGCGAGCGUUAAUCGGAAUUACUGGGCGUAAAGCGCAUGCAGGCGGCCUGUUAAGUCAGAUGUGAAAGCCCGGGGCUUAACCUCGGAAUUGCAUUUGAAACUGGCAGGCUAGAGUCUUGUAGAGGGGGUAGAAUUUCAGGUGUAGCGGUGAAAUGCGUAGAGAUCUGAAGGAAUACCAGUGGCGAAGGCGGCCCCCUGGACAAAGACUGACGCUCAGAUGCGAAAGCGUGGGGAGCAAACAGGUUUAGAUACCCUGGUAG
rnacentral:rRNA from 1 species